GAUGAAGAACGUAGCGAAAUGCGAUACUUGGUGUGAAUUGCAGAAUCCCGUGAACCAUCGAGUCUUUGAACGCAAGUUGCGCCCGAAGCCUCGGCUAAGGGCACGUCUGCCUGGGCGUCACGCAUCGCGUCUCCCCCAAACCGCCAAGGCGGAGGGGAAGGAAGAUGGCUUCCCGUGCCUCACCCGGCGCGGUUGGCCUAAAUUUGGAGCCCGCGGCACUUAGCUCACGCAGCGAUAGGUGGUGAACAAGGCCUUGGCCGGGCAAACAACCCGCUGCGAAGCUCUAUGUCACGUGCGCUCGUCGGACCCUUUGAAGUUGCCUUCGGUGACUUAAAACCUUUGCGACCCCAGGUCAGGCGGGGCUACCCGCUGAAUUUAAGCAUAUCAAUAAGCGGAGGA
rnacentral:misc_RNA from 1 species